GAGCUACAAUUUUCUCUACUUACCUACAGAGACUCCCAAUUUUAACACACUCAACUCUAACCAGUUUAUAGGACACGUCUCACCAGGAGAGCAUUCCAGCGCGACUGUUUUGUGUGAUUUAGCCGAGGCUGUUGUCUCUGAAGUUCACACAUGGGAAGCUUCAUCUCCUAUGGGACAGUCUGGAGAGGUGGAAUUUGGUGUGCUGAAGAACACUCUCCAUGUUUUUCCAACACUGUUCACCAUACAUGAACAAUGAAAAUGUCAUCUACCUGCCCCAGAAGCUCAUAUCCUACAUGGGCACAAACCACAGGGAAU
rnacentral:lncRNA from 1 species